ACUUCCUGUUUCUACACUGCAAAAAUUCAAAAUCUAACCACAUUUUUCUGGUCGAGUUUCUAGUGCAAAUAUCUUGGUACACUUGAAAUAAGGCAAAACUAACAUUUCAUCAAGAAAUACGAACUAGUUUUAAGUAAGUAAUUACUUAAUACUGAUUUUAAAAAGAAGUAAUAUUUCCACUGGCAGAUUAUUUCACUAAUAAGAUUCCCAUAUUAUAGGAGAAAAGAAUCUGCCACUUUUUCAUCAAUAUUAAUGGGGCGGCAUAAUGCAUUGUCCAGGCACAGUGACAUUUUAAAGCAAGAUCAAGUAACUGCUACCUUCAGUUGUUAUGAAAAUGUUAUUGUUUCCAAUAUGUCUUAAAAGAAAUUAUAUUUCGUAAUUUAAUGCCUUGAAAUUGGGCUUCUGUCUCUUUAAAAACUCGUGCUCUUUCUGAAACCCCGCCUUCAGGUAGUCAUUACAAUAUGGCUCCAACACGGCUCCUCUAUUAAACCUUUAACAAUGUUUUUACCAGGAUCUCCACGACAAGUAGCCCGUAUAAUGAGCUCCGCAGAUGUGCAAUUCUACCAGAUGUUUACUAAUUGCAGCUGGCUAGUCUGAAGGAGCCGAGAAGCACUGUAAUGCUC